GUCAAGUGAAAGCCACCUUGUCAAGGAGGAUGGAAUAGCUAGACAGGGGUACAGUGAGGCCAACGCAGGGGAGUGUGGAUGUCAAUUCUGGAGCAAACAGUAUGGCACGGGACCAUCUGCUACCGGCCCCAGCCCAGAUGAUACAGUUGGAGCCUGCCCACAGCAUCCUCUCCCGCCUUCAGACGGUUCCAGGAACGAGAACCAUGCUGUGUGUCUGUAUGAAACGUGAGACGAUACAGGCUUAUCUGACCCAUCUACGAUGCCAGUAAGUGCGAAGGAGGACCACACAUGGGAAGGGUCUGUUCUGCUGCCCAGCAAUCAUGUUUUCUAUCAUAUGGAGCUGUGACAGUGCCAUCUGAGUUUGCUAAGAAGCUAUAGAGACCUGGAAGGCCAGACUCUCCGGACACAUCACCAUCCCCAUGUACUUCUUGAGCCCUAGAACAGGCCUCCCACACCCUGUCCUCCCCAGGGACCCUCAUUAAAGAGUUCACAGGUAA